CCUCCUACAUCUCAUUAGAGAGCUCUCAUGUUCCAAAACACCACCGAUGCCUCCAGCUCUGUAACUCCCUCUGUACCAGGAGAAAUCUGUGGUUCCAGAACAUUUUUCUGGAUUUUUUUAUUCCAAAUCAGAGGGGUUGGCAGGGUUGGGCAGCCUGUGCUGUCCCAGAGCUCCCACAUGCAGCACUCAGGGUUUUUCCAGCCUCCAUCUGCCUGGCUGCAGGCACGUUCCUGUUCAGGGCUUCUUACACAUUGCAGAUGUUCCAGCUAAAUGUCAGCGUGCUCAGAAUCUGCAGGUUUGCCUUUUUAUUAUGAAUAUUGUGAUGAGGUGUGACAGGGUGGGGAAUGUGGAAAAUACUGGAGGUGCAUGUGGAUGUAAGUGUGGAGGAACAUUCUGGAAAUCAGUCAGCCUCAAACUAUGUAUCUAAAUGUAAUGAGCAGAUUUCUUGAAGUUGUACUUUGGAUCAUUUUUAAAAUAAAUGCACCAUUUUCUUUAGCAA